rnacentral:tRNA from 1 species
GCUGGGGAUAUAUAGCUCAGCUGGUAGAGUGCUUGCCUUGCAUACAGAAGGCUCUGGGUUCAAUUCCCAGCAGCA